rnacentral:rRNA from 1 species
UACGAAGGGGGCUAGCGUUGCUCGGAAUUACUGGGCGUAAAGCGCACGUAGGCGGAUUGUUAAGUCGGGGGUGAAAUCCUGGAGCUCAACUCCAGAACUGCCUUCGAUACUGGCGAUCUCGAGUUCGGGAGAGGUGAGUGGAACUGCGAGUGUAGAGGUGAAAUUCGUAGAUAUCCGGAGGAACACCGGUGGCGAAGGCGGCUUCCUGGACCGACACUGACGCUGAGGCGCGAAAGCUAGGGGAGCAAACGGG